GGGCUUGUGGUUUAGUGGUAUAAUACUCCCUUAGCAUCAGAUGUGGCUCCUCGAGAAGCCCGUCAAGAUUGGGAGUGGUCCGGGGUUCGAUUCCCCGCGAGUCCA